ACACUACUAUUCCUUUUGAAAGAUCCACGCUCGUACUCCAUUGUUAUAUUUGUACUCCAUAGAGAUUAUCAUUCAUGCAUAACUAUGUGGGGACCCUUACACUAUAGAACUUGGCUUGUAUAUUCCAAUGACGAGCCUCCUCAAAUGAGCUCUAGGUAUUCAUGAGCAAGCAAGUUGGAUGCACCCCCACUAGUUCCAUUGGAGAGCUUACCUCAGCUCAU
rnacentral:lncRNA from 1 species